GAGUUGGAGUCUAUUUCUUCACUCUUUUGACUCUGGACGGGCAGAUAACUUUUUCCUUUUAGUCUCUAGAUGGGGAGGAGUUACACCACUGGAGCUGGCCAUGUGACUCCCAUUGACUAAAAGAAUGAAGUGGAAGUGAAAUUUUGCAAAUCCUGGGACCUAACUAUCAAGAGGUCUUACAGCUUCUGACUUUACCCUCUCCACUAAGAUCACCAGACGAGGAAGCCAGUCUAGCCUCCUGGAAGAUGAGAGGCCAUGUGGAGGAGAAUCAAGGCAUCCUAGCUGAUGGUGAGCACCCUCUCCCUAGACAUCUGGUUGUCAUCAUAAAGACACAGAUGAAGAGAUAUCCCAGAGCCAAGUUCAUCUCCGCAAUACAUCGGAGAGACACAGAAAGCCUGGAAAGACAUUGUGUUCUUGGUGCCCAGAAGUCUAGCAGACACAGGCUUUGUCAGAAUGGUAGAGGAAAUAAAUCUCAGGCACAUGGUGCUUUCCAGGAAAAUGCCUUCUAAUUUUUGGAAAAUUCAACCAGAAAACUUCCUUUGAGAGAAUUUAUGCCAGCAAUACAUGGUCAAGCCAGUUAACCUGGAAGAUAGAAUCAACCAGUCAAUUCAUAAUUAUUAUGAAGCAGUUGUUUGAAUGGACAGAAUGUCUGGCCAGUGAGUCCCUGAGCCCAGACAAGCAAUAUAGGUAAUAAGGGUAAUAAGGGAGGAUUAAUUGCUACAGUCUUGUUUCCUAGAGAGUCUCCCAAAGUACGUAGAACAACUUCGUCUAUAGGUUGCUCAACUAGCAUGGGUCUAUCUGAAAGGAGACGUCAAAGUGCACAUCUGGUUGUUUAAAGAGAAGCAUCUACAAUAAAGUAACCCAGAAGAUUCUUGGUCUUAUUUUU
rnacentral:lncRNA from 1 species